rnacentral:lncRNA from 1 species
ACUAACCAUCCUUGGAGCCUGAACAGCCAGUGCCUCAUUCUUCCCAUUUGUAAAACUGGGAGAAAAUUAUAAUAUUUGCCUUAGGGGUUACUAGCAAGAAUUAAAAAGUUUAUACAUGUAAAGUGCUUAAAAUAAUGCCUGGUAUAUAAUUUCAAUAAAGAAUGCCUGUCAUUAAAUACCCACCAUUUGCUUCAACGUGGAUGGAACUGGAGGGUAUAACGCUGAGUGAACCCCAGCUUCCAGGAUUUGGGGUGACUACAGUCCAGCUAGCUGUUGUCUGAGGCUCUUGCAUGCUGCCUGCCGACAAUCCUGUCUCUGAAGAACGACAUGACAAUGUGAGCAUCCGUGUUCCCAUAUUUGCCCUGAAUGAAGAGAAGAGGGUCCUGAUACUAGGUGGCUUCUUCUGCUCACCUGCUAUACAACACUGUCCACACCUUGGCCCUCCACAGGAGAUGGAAAACCCCCUGUCUCAAGUUUAGGAAAAGAGUCUAAGAGAAGUAGUUGGCAGAAAUGACAGCAAAUGGCUUCAGGUAACAGGUAAGUGGUUUUACCAAUUUGGAGUUAAACCCGAGGUUUCUCCAAAAUUCAGUGACUAUGUUUCUCUUUAUUUAUUUUUUUUUUUAAUUUUUUAUUUAUU